GUAAAAAGGUUAAGUUAGAAAGGGCGCACGGUGGAAGCCUUGGCACUAGGAACCUAUGAAGGAAGGCACUUACACCGAUAUGCUUCGGGGAGCUGGAAGUCAGCUUUGAUCCGAAGAUUUCCGAAUGGGGAAACCCACUGCCCGUAAUGGGGUAGUACGUUUACGUGAAUACAUAGCGUAUACGAGGCACACCCGGAGAACUGAA
rnacentral:misc_RNA from 1 species